UCUUCUGUAAUCUGGAAGUGGAGGAAACUUUCCCAAGUAUAAAUGAAUAUCCAGGAGCAUUAAGGAAAACGAUUGAUAUAUUUGACAAUGUAAAAAUAACAAUGACAGCUCUGCGUGGCACAAACAUGCUAGUCAAGUAGAGACACUGGGGAAAACAUUUGCAGCUAACAUCUUUAACAAAACAUUGAUAUCCCUUCCAUAUAAACACUUACCAACAUGAGGCAUGAAAAAACAACAGCCCUAUCAAAGACAUGUGAGAAAUACAACCAGUUAUGAAAAAAAAAUCAGUUGUCUUUAAACACAUGAAAAGAGUCACAAGCUUGUUUUAAUUAAGAGAGAUGCAAUUACAACUAUACUAAGACACCAUUUCUUAACUAUUAGAUUGACAAAGAUCCGAAUGUUUGUAGGCAAACUCAGUUGGUGAGGAUGGGGAAAAACGUUUCCUUUCACACCUGCUCAGGGAUGCAAAAUGGUAUGAUCACUGUAGUAGGCCUGAUACUGGUCCCAAGAGAUCUCAGGUCCUGAUCCCUGGAACCUGUAAAUCUUACCUUAUGUGAAAAAGGGUCUUUGCAGAUGUGAUUAAAUUAAGAGUCUUUUAAUGGGGAGAUUAUCCUGGAUUAUCCAAAUGGUCCCUAAAUGUACAGCCAAGUGUCCUUCUAAGAGAGGCAGAGGGAGAGUUGACACAGACAGAAGAGGAGAAGGGAAUGUGACCAAGGAUGUAGGCUGGAGUGAUGGAGCCACAAGCCAAGGAAUGCCAGCAGCCACUAAAAGCUGGAAGAGGGGAGGGAGCUCCCCCAGAGUCUCUGGAAGGACUGCAGCCCUGCCAAUGUCUUGAUUUUGGCCCCGUGAAACUAAUUUUGGACUUCCAGCUUCCAGAACUAUGAGGGGAUGUUUCUGUUGUGGUAAUUUAUUGCAGUAGCCAUAGGAAAUUAAUGCAGUCAUUAUGGCAGGGAAUUUGACAAUACCAGCAAUUUCAUAUAUGCCCUUACUCUUUGACUCAGAAAUCCUAUUUCCAGAAAUAUCCUAAGGAUAUACUGGCAAUGUCACAAAAGAUUUUAGAUAUAAAUGUAGCUAUUCACUUUGGCACUAUUUGAAUUGCAAAAGAAUGGGAACAACCUAAACAUUUAUCAGUUGUUUGAUGGAUGAAUAAAGUAUACAACCGCACAAAGGUGUACACUAAGGAAGGUGUAAAGAGGAACGAUGAAAAUCUCCACAUGGGCUGUGGAGGGAUGUCCAGAAUAUAGUGUUAAAUGAAAAUGUCAACGUACAUAAAGGUGUAAAUAGCAUACUUUUGAUCUAAGAAACGGGGGGGAAUGCAAAUAUAAAACUUUUACUUAUAUUAAAAGUAGAAGGAAAAGACCUCUGUUUUGGGAACCAGAAGGAGUAGACACAUUUCUCCCUGGUACUCCUGCGAGGUGCAGCUAAAAUCUCUGGCUCUUAUAUGUAAAACACAGACUGAAAGGGGGAGAGGAAAAACAGACUGGCUGGGGACUUCAGGAUCCAAGUAGCAACAUGCGUGAAUUCCCUUGGUUGUAUUUCACCCCAUAUGUCCCAGACUGAGUGCUGGAGGAGAAGGGCACCAAAAAAUGCCAACAGGAAAAGACCAGACAAGCCUCAAGAAAAUCUUUUCCAGGCAAAGAACCAGAAAAGAGGAAACCUAGCAAGAAAGACAGCUUUUAGACAACAACUGUCCUACCUCAGACAGACACCACAGAAUGCAACACAGCUCCACCCACACUGUGCCAGCAAAGGCUGGGUGAGGAGUGUGGAUUCUACGCUCACUUAAGUGCAACCAGCCUCCCCUCCCCACCCUCUGGGGUGGAUCAGAGAAGACCCCAAGGAGAAAAGGGACUUUCAUCCCUGAUGGUGGAAGUGAGCACCUGUCGCCCUGGUGUCAGUAGAGACCAUGUGGGGAGCCUGACUUCCACCCGCACCCAGUGAUGAGACGCCUUCCCCUCAUUUCUGGGCUGAUGUCACAGGAAGCCGAGGGGAUGGUGUAACUUUCACGACCAUCCAGUAAAGAGGAGGCCUCCUCCUCUCCACAGUGUCAGGAGAGGCCACACAGAGGGCAGUAAGGAAGUGUCUUUCCCCGCCUGCCAGGUGGAGACCUGGUAGGGAGUGAAAUCCCACCUCUACCAAGUGGAAACAAGGAACACAUGCUUGGAGUCACCAACAUCCAUGAAGAGAGGGUAGUGAUGCCUCACUAGCACGUUUGUGGUGACGACUAAAUCUAGGCAACAAUGUGAAGAACCUAUGCAUAGGCCCUGCUUAAGUAGAAGCUUCAUGAAUAGAGCUGUCUCUUCCUCCAAGAUCAGGGAACUCACCUGGCUCCAUUACCUGCCCACCUCAGCUCGGGCCCCUUAACCUGGACGCAGUGCAGCUCUUCAUGCCGCUGGCCGAGCUCCUAUCAGGCGUCUGAAAGAGGCAGCUUCUGAGGAUCUGUGUCCUCAUGGCUGCUGAACCAUCUGCUCCAGAUUCAAGGGCAGCCGUCCUCAGGAGACCACGACACUUCACAUCCCUGUUGGGAUAUGAGGCCCGGCCUGAGGGAGUGCAUACAUCUGAACGAAAGCAUGUUGUGGAAUUGCUCCUGUGAGGUUCACAAAGGAGCCUCAGAGGAGAGAAGCUAACUUGCUCCCUCAUGAGAGAAGAGGUUUAGCAGGUGGAAUCCAUUCCUUCAGCAGCUGCCUGCUCUGUAGUAGCCCUGAGAGCCAUCCUAGAGUUGCCGCCUUUUGUCUGAAAGCAAUGAAUUGUCCGGCUUGAGGAAGACACUUGACCUUUCACAUGCAUUUGCAAUAAAUAUGCCUAAAUUGUUCUCAUCAUACAGAUAAUAAUCAAUGAUUCUCUUGUGCCUCUCAGAGGAGUGUGGAAAUACGCAGUAGUUAGAUCUUCCUAUUUGUGAUGAGAUUCUUCCCUGGUGACCGUGGGUUUUUUUUCCCUUUUAUAACAGCAUUUUUUAAAAAGGGGGAAUUUUUCCAAGUGUUAGUUUAAAAUGUCAGGGACUAGAACUUAAUAUUUUAAAAAAUAUUUGUUACCCUACAUAAUGAUACUCAGUAUCGUUCCCUGAAAUAACUAGUUCCUCUUAGAUAUCAUUAUGAUUAUUUUCCUAAGAUAUGAUAUAUUAUUUCUGUACUUCAGAAGGAAAUAGACAUCAACUUUUCCUAUAUAUUUGCAUAUAUUUCAUUGCAAAUGAUUAUUUCUAUUUUGGUUAUCCGUC